rnacentral:rRNA from 1 species
UCCUACGGGAGGCAGCAGUGGGGAAUAUUGGACAAUGGGGGCAACCCUGAUCCAGCCAUGCCGCGUGAGUGAUGACGGCCUUAGGGUUGUAAAGCUCUUUUCUCCGGGACGAUAAUGACGGUACCGGAGGAAUAAGCCCCGGCUAACUUCGUGCCAGCAGCCGCGGUA